rnacentral:rRNA from 1 species
AUUGAACGCUGGCGGCAGGCCUAACACAUGCAAGUCGAGCGGAUGAAGGGAGCUUGCUCCUGGAUUCAGCUGCGGACGGGUGAGUAAUGCCUAGGAAUCUGCCUUGUCGUGGGGGAUAACGUCCGGAAACGGGCGCUAAUACCGCAUACGUCCUGAGGGAGAAAGUGGGGGAUCUUCGGACCUCACGCUAUCAGAUGAGCCUAGGUCGGAUUAGCUAGUUGGUUGGGUAAAGGCCUACCAAGGCGACGAUCCGUAACUGGUCUGAGAGGAUGAUCAGUCACACUGGAACUGAGACACGGUCCAGACUCCUACGGGAGGCAGCAGUGGGGAAUAUUGGACAAUGGGCGAAAGCCUGAUCCAGCCAUGCCGCGUGUGUGAAGAAGGUCUUCGGAUUGUAAAGCACUUUAAGUUGGGAGGAAGGGCAGUAAGUUAAUACCUUGCUGUUUUGACGUUACCAACAGAAUAAGCACCGGCUAACUUCGUG